CAUUAUCAAAUAGAUGAUUCCAAGAUGUGGGAGAGGAUACAUUCAAGUUAUAUAGCAAAAUAUUCAACCUCUGAAUGAAGCGGAAUCACGCCUCUUAUUUACCAAUUUUAAUCAGGAAACACCCAUAAGGAUAUACAUGAAAGUUAUACAUUAUCGGAAAGAGCGACACAGACAACAAGAUAUCGCGGCACAAGUACAAACUGUUUCAUUCCUCUCAGCAUGAGGCAUUCUCGUCCCAGUAAAAUGUACACAAUGCCCAUUCUACAGCUUGAGCCAAAUUUGCUUGCCAACUCGAAAUGCAUUUACAUUCCUAAGCCUUUGGCAACAAUUUCGACAGAUUCCGGAGCAGAUCACACCUCCACACGCAACCAUGUUACAAGGAUUCUAUCCUGUUCUGUAGCUCCUGCCUACACUCUAGUGGAUCUUCAGGUUCGUCAGCACGUUGUUGUGCACGGGGUCCGCCAAGUGGUCCAGUAGGUUCUGGAACGGGCCCACGCCUGUGAAGAUGGCCUGGGUGAAGUACCCCAACACCGCCAUCAUCGCCAACCGCCCGUUCUUGACCUCCUUCACCUUCAGCUCCUGCAACUCCUUCUCGUUCUUCCCGAAUCCCAAGAAGUUGAAGAUGGGCCCUCCUGGGUACGCCGGGUUGCCCGAUCCUCCCAAAAACUUCUCCAGCCCCAAAAAGUACUGCUUGCCCAUCGAUCCGGGCUUGUAGUAGUCCUGCGCGCGUCGGUGCUCCGCGAAUCCCAUCAACGCCAUCUCCAGCACGAACAGCGUAUACGGGUCGGCCCAGUAGCUGUAGUUGCCCACGGGCGGGAUCACGCCGCUCUGGAACCACGGGAUGGCGGUCUCCUGCGGGAUCAGCCCGAUUCUCCCCAGCACCUCAGGUGCGAUGGCACCGGCCGCUCCCAGCAUGGCGAACCGCCCGUUGAUGAUCUCGGCGUAUGGGAGCCACUGGGGGUCGAUGAAGCCACCGGCACCCUCGGGGUCCAUCAGGCCCAACGGAUCAAACCCAUAGUCGCCGGGCAAGCUGCAUCGGAACCCACAGACGAGCACAUUAGGGUGCUACUGGACGGUAAUCAAGCACGCAUGUAAGUUGAACAAUCAGCUGGGAUGUGCAUGGGCUGGAAAAUCCCCUGUAGGGCACUGAGUGGCAGAUUUACUCACGUGCCAUCAAGGUAAGACAGGCUUUGCUUGGAGGCAAAGAUCAGGUUCCUCUGGCUCCCACCCUACAUGAGAUGAAAAAUCCCACUGUGAUUGAAUAGUUGAUAAUCUGCAAAGGGGACCUUGCUGAAUAAAGAGUUUCAUGAUAAUAGUUACAUUCAAGUUAAGCUGCGUAGACCUUACAGUGGGGCUAAGCUGGGCCUUGGUGACGACAGUCUUGGCAGAGGAUGAGGCCUUCAACGUGACAUUGAGAGUGCAUGCCAAGUUGGUACCAAAUACAGAGCUUCUCUUCCCCUCCUGCACAGACCAGGGUAAUAAUACAUCGUCAGCGGGCAAGGAACAUGUUUUGACUGACUAAACUUAACAUCACCAUCAUCAUACACGCUCCAGACAGAAGGACAUUUGUGCUGAUGAUCAGGUGUAACAAGGAGUAUCUGCUAGGGGAGACGUGGUGGAAACUGGCGUAAUAAAUCAGACAACAGCAUUUAUGGAACAUUGCACUUAGGUGUAUCAUUAAGGUUGGGAUUUCUAUUGACCGUGUGUAGCUUUCAUUGGAAAAUUCUAACGAUCUUAGAACAAGUCUACUCGAGUGUGAGUAAACCGUAAAAAAACUAGAAGUGGAAAAAGAUUUAAUGAAUCGAUUGUUAAUCACAGCUCCAUUGCUGUGGUAGUGUCUCCCACUCUCACAGUGUAAUUUAAAUUCGUAAAACGACCAUUAUCUUCCCGUGAUGUGUACAAAUUUCUUACCCCCUUUUACUAGUCACCACGCUUUGCAGCGCGAGUUGCGCUCUUUCCAUGGACGGCAACGUGGACAAUGCACUUAAAUGGAUUGCAGAAUCCAAAUUCCUGAACCAGAAUUCUAAGGGAGACAGAAAGGUCACAAUUUGCCUUGCAGCCAGUCCUCCAUCCCCGCACAGGGAUUCCGAAAGUUACCACACACUGUAAAUAUGUCUGCUAACCAAUAAUGGAUCAUCCAGUGCUGCCGCUGUAGGCCAGUGAGAAUGAACAGAGACAAGCAAAUGUGCGCAAAGCGAACCCUUACUGCGUUCCUAAGCAUGGAUACUCCCAGCAUGCAGACCCCAAACCAAGGAACACAUGACUGACGCACUCAGUUACUGAAUCAAGCAAGAGGGUGAGAGAACGGGUGGGGCUUACGAGGGAACUGGAGGAAACUUUGGCAGCGAACGAGGACACGGCACUUCCUGCCGCCAUUCUAGUCGCCAUUGCAAAACACGCGCGCAGACUCCCACAGGCCUCGCGUUCACAGGCUUGGAAAAUGAGUAGACUGCGCAGCUUCGGCUUUAGCGAGGAAACUAGCAUGGGGGGAUUUGAAGCUGCAGAGAUGAAGUGGGAGAGCAACAGCAGAUUGGGGGCGUGCCGGUCCCAGCCGGAGCGAGCCACGAGAGUGGCCACAGCCACACAUACGCUUUGGCAUCGGAUAUUGUAAGUUGCACGUCCAAUCCCCGGCCUCGGGCCAGAUCUCGCACCCGGCUGGGGAUCGCCCUAUGGGCACCCUUCCCGGGGAAUGGUGCCACGCUGGACGCGGGAAGCAUAGAUGGAUGAAUCUCAAUAUUAUCAUUCUCUCAUCCGUGUUAACUCACGGGUCGGGGAUGAGAACUCCAACGACAUAAAUUUUCUGAUAAUAAUUAUUUAAAAAGUUAUAAAAAAAAUCUCUUUAAUUAACUUCUAAAUAAUAAUUAAUUUUUAUUUUUUUUUAAGAAAAUUCAUAUUCUUUUACUUUUUUUUCAAAAUUAUGUAGAGUAAAUUAGAAGGUUUAAUAUAGUCCUAAAAUUCUAUAUUUAUGUCAUUUGUUCUUCUUUUUGAAAUGAAAUCCACAAUAGGAUAAAAGAUUUUAAGUUUGAAAUCUCUCUUUUUUUCUCUUUAUAUAUAUAUAUAUAUAUAUAUAUAUAUAUAUAUAUAUAUAUUUUAGUUUUUAUUUUUUCAUCAAACUUAUUUUGCAUACUAGACUUCAAAGAAAUAAUUAUUUAAAAUAAAAAAGCUAACAGUAAAAAUAUUCUAUUUUAUUUUAUUGGCAUAAUUCUUGAUGUUACAAAAAUUGGAAACUCUGUAUCUAAGCAAUUUAUUGAAUUCUUGUAUUAUUUGUUGUCCACAAAGUAUUAAAAAUAUAUUUACCAAAUAUUAAAACACAAAACGCAUUGUAACAGGUGUUAAUUGUUUAAAAUUAACAACUUUCUACAAUGGAAAAAAGCAAAUAAUCAUGUGUCCAAUCUUUCAAUAAUAGUUAUAUGCAAACAAUUAUUGAGUAAAUUAAAAAAUCACUUUAAUGCACAAGGUUAGACCAAUCAAAUAUAGAAAGUAUUUUUUGAUUUUUAUAAUAUUUGAAAAAGACAAUAAUUAGAAAUAUAAUCUAAAAUAAAAUCAUGAAAUAUCACAUGACAGUAAAGAUUGCAACUAAUUAGAUGUAAGGAUGAAUAAAUCAAUUUAACAAGCCAUGGUGUUGGAUAAGGCAAACUCUGAAUAAUAUGCAACUUCAUAACUAAGGGAAAUUCACAGGAGAAUUACGUCUUGAAUCAGCAACACGAUAAUCCAAAAGCAAUUAGCAAGCUCUCCAAUAGUACCCUCUAUUGCUGUGAUGUUUACAAAAAGCCUCCCCAAUGCCACGCACAAAAUCCAUGAAGUAGAAUGUAGGGUAUUGAAUGUAAAAAUGUUAGGGUAGGAAAAUGUGGACUGUGUGCAGGGGAGCUGAAAUGGAGGUAAAGAGUGACAACAAACGUGGACUAAAUAUAUGAAGUAAGCUAUGUGUUACUUGUGUGAUACAAUAUAAUACACUUGUGAAUUGUCUUUAAAAUGAUUUUACACGUGCAGGCGGGUAUAAGAGUCCAGCGAGAGAAAUACAUCGCUGACGUUGCAGUUCUGGAGUUGUCAUAUCAGGAGUUGUCCUCAAACUACCGUGCUUAUUUUCUGAGGUAAACAAAUUGAGGGCCAGCAUCAGGUUUACAACCAACCCACUUGGUUCCGACUCUCCCAUUCCUUAAAAAUUUGUUGACAUGCUAAAGAUCAAGCAAAAAAUGUGGUCACUUUGAGAUCCCCAGUGCGAGAAUCAAAAUGUCCUGUUACUUCCACAACGCUGUUUACUGGUAGCUCAUUCGAAGAGUCGGAUGGUGAAAGGGUCGAUUGUAGCUGGAGUCCUUUGACACCAACCUCGACAGGAGAGCGAAGAAGCUUCACUCCUUGCUUCCAAUAUGUCGGUCUUCCACCUGAAGUGGAUAUUCAGACCCCAGUCAAAAAUCACCAAAGACCUUAAGACCGUGAAUCUAAAACUAUGCUUCGCUUAAUACCGCAUGGGGCAGCUAGUAUGUAUUUAAUACAGCCAACAUCGUAUAAAGAGUAUGAUCACACUUCAACCUCAACUGUAUCGUGCUGUGUGUGCAACAAACACAGUAGAGAUUCUUAGGAAAACUUUUAAGGGUACGAUAUGCAGAUUCAGGAUCAUACCUGCUGGUCCAGUGGAUAGUACAUAACUGCCUUCUGGAUCUAGACUCCAAUCCAUCCACAAGACAAUCCCAUGGCACUGACCGGCUCUCUGUACUGCAGCCUGAAUAGCCAAAAUGUACAAACAUAACCAUGAUCAAUCUUAAAACUUCAUCACUAGGUGACGCUGAUUGACGAAAUGAAAUUUGGGGUCAAACAAAUUUCAAAUCAACACAUGUUCUUAAAUGUAAUGUCUUCCACUAAAUACUGAUUGAUAUUACCAACAUUACAAGGUCAAAUACAUUUUAGCUGGAACACUUAUCACACCCCCAAGAACAAGGAAGACAACAGUACCUCUAUGACGCCUUCCAUAGUUCGUAGUGGAUACGAGAAGUCGAAUUCAAUCACAGUGAAUACAUCUGUCAGCUCCUGUUAAUCAAAGUUGUGUUAUAAUCACGUGAAAAAGAACAUCGUACUCUUGACUGGUCAGAGUAGUUGCACAAGCUGCUCCUCUUGACUUGGCAGUGCAUUCUGAUUUGGUAAAAGCAAAACAUACAUGUUCUCUUAGGACAUCCCUAGUAGGACAAACUUGCAAAUGGGUACUACGGCCUUGUUAUUCUUAUUCCUCAAGAAUUAAAGGUAAAUUAAAGAAGAUGGAAUAUACACACCUCAUAUCGUCCGCAUUGCCACACAGCAAACGGAAGUAUGGGGACCUCGUGUAAUGAUGGUAGCUCUCCACAGGCCCCAAAAACACUAUUUACCAGCCUAUGGUCAAAUCCUUCCACAUCUUUGAUGAACCGGCGGCUUUUCCAUAAGUCCUACUUGACAAACCAAUACAGUGUAUAACAUGACCUGCUAAAAGGAGGCUACGAUUAUUAAGUUUUGAAAAAGUUAUGAAGGUACAAAUACUAGAGCCGAGUGACAAUAUGGUUGUUGCUUGAUAACGUACUGGCAUAUGCACAGCAACGCCACGCAACGAAGCUCGGCAUGGGACUAGCUUCACGUUGUCAGAUAAGAGUGGUGACAGCUGGGUUCGCUCGUACCUAAAAGAAUAUCCAAAAUGCAAUUCAUGAGGUCUUACAAGGAUGUGUCUACAGAACAAAAAUGAAGCAACCGAUCACGUGGAUGAUAUCUAAACUUGAUACAAAAAACUGGCAGAGAAGAUCAGAGGGGUAGAAGAAGAUGCAUCUGAAAGAGUACCAAAAACGUAGUAACCGCCACGGAAGCAUCCUGCUGCAUGAGGUGUAGUAAGGCUCCGCCAUCAGCAAAUCAAUCUGACACAACAGAUCCCAGACCAUUUUAACUAAACAUAUACUUUUGUAAAGUACACAAACGUUACAAUUUGGCCGAUUCGCAGUCAGUAACAGGACUGACAAAUUUGUGAAGUUACAAAAUAAGAUGAGGAUUCAUUCUGCCAGCAAUAAUUUCCAAUCAGAGACUUCUAAGAGUAUACCUUGCGGACCCCUAAAACUUCUAAUGAUAAGGGUGUUGCUAUCUUGUUCAUGACUUUGAUGUUAGCCACGUUCUGUCCCAAGGUCCUACUGAUGUCAUCCACAUAUUCUUGACCAACAGCACUCCCAGGAAACAUAGCAACCACUUGGACAUUUGCACGAACAGAGGCCGCCAUCAUGGUCACGAGCAAACUAUCGUCAACGACUACACACAAUGAGGUCUUUAGACAUCGGAGCUGCAACAAACACCAAACACCAGGCAUUAACGUUGGACUACAUGCGUUGAAUAUGCCUGUGUUAACUGAUCAAAAGCAGAUAAAUUACAUCUAACCAAUGACGUCAUUUAGCAAUUGAUUGACAUAUUUUUGAGCACCAUGUAUUAUUGUUCUGAACUCUAGGCAGUUUUCAAGAUGAUGAAAGAAGACAGAAAAAAUCUUACAGCAAUUUCGACAGCUGAUUUCACAGAUCUUCGCCACGGCUCAUGUCCGAGAAUUCCAAUUCUAUCAGGUGACAUAGACGCUUCAAAUAACACUGGGCAGUCAACGUUAUCUUUAGGGACUACAUCCUUGUGCAUAUAGCUCCCUACAGGGUCCGUCACAUUGUAACUAACACUAACAGCAUCAUGGCUGGCUGUAACCACAACUUCGUUCCCUGAGUACAACAUCAAGCCCUUCCCUGGAAGGAUCCACACCAUCUGCUUCCAGUGCUCACACCAUUCUGAUAUGCCCAUACAAGCAACAAGUUCAAGAAAAGUUAGAAAAAGUAAGCAGAGCAAUGAAGCAAUUAAAGACAGGCCCUACAUAUUAAUUAAUUAAUUGAAGGCUAUUCUGAGGGCCUCAAUUAGGGUGCUUCAAGCAUACAAUUUAUAAUAAUACGCUUCCAUAUUGCUGUCUACCUGUUUGAGGAAUAGUUUCAGCUUUCACAUUUGCUGAUGGAUUUUUUAUCCAAUUGGGCGCUGUUGAAUAAAAUAUCUCACCCUCAAUGUCAAGCUGAAGUACCCACCUGCAAGACUUCCAAACUAUUCAAAUGCAAUACAUAGAAGUGACACGAACGAGUUUUGAGAACUACAAAACACACAGAAACAAUAAUCACAAGUGGGCAUCAAAUGCUUUCACAGGACUUUACCAAGAUACAAGUGCGUGUGCCCUCCCAGAAUUUGUGAUGAGAACACUAUGUUGACGUUGCCCAGACUCAUCAGGAGCUUUGGAAAGCUCAAACGUGAAAACUUCAAAUGGUUCUGAAAGCUGCCAAAUUUAGACACACAAUAAGGUCUCUCCUCAAGUUAGGAUUACAUAACUAAGGGACACCUAGUUCAAGUCGAAAACACAAAGAAACCAAAACAUAAUAUAUCGACAAUCAUCAUUCAUUCCAACCAAGGCACUACACGACCAACUAAAAUCAGGUAACUAGGCUAGAGGCAAAGCUAGGGAGUGUACUCUCAUGAAACUUGUACACUCUUCCGUGAGCAACAGCGCGAGAAGCAAUUCUGUAAUAAACUAGUCACGAGGAUUUAGCAAACCUGCUUGCUGUAACUUCAGAACAAUAAAGACGAAGUUCCUACAUUAAUACCAAUCUAAGACACUAAAUAAGGAAUUCGGUCUACCAGCUGCAUUUCGCUCGCUAAGGGAUCCACAUGCAUGGCAGCAGCUCUACCCCGAAACUGGUUAUAAUCACGUGAAGCCAAAACCACGCCAUCAACCAAUUGAGACUCCACUCCUGGUAAGUCAUGGCACUUCCACAAAUGCUCACACUCCACAAGCUGCAACACAGAGAGCCACUAAAUGUCUCAGUAGGUAAAUAUCUAUGCUGUUUUUAGGAUAACGACAAUAUCCCAACUAAGACGGAAAACUUUUCAAGAUUUGUAAAUGGACCUGUGCGUAGACGGUAGCUGUAUGGGGCACACAGCGGGCAUUUUUCGUGAGCAGAUUUUGAUGAGCAUGACGCAGGGAGGGUAUCAAACCCUCACCGAGAAGCUCUGAAUCGAGAAUUUCACUGAUCUGCCAUUCAGAUACCAUUCAUUCAGAUUAGUACUUAUUUUUAAUCUACUCUUACUAGCAGCAUCUACAAGAAUGCUGCAUAACAGCUCGCUCAAAUCAUGUAGCUUCCACUAACCAGCAGACUCCUGGCUCUGCAACAAGAAAAUAGACAUCAAACACAAUUCAGGCAACUCAUGAAAGACCCUUCUCAAGUUCAAUAACUAACCAGAACGUCUGCACGACAAUGCAUGUCAAUGCCCACUUCCAUUUCAUCAGACCGUUUAUGAAUCAGACGCACACCUGCUCCGACUUUGUUAGCUCGCAAAACCUUUCGGGCAAGCUUGAACAUGGGCAGGAAGGACUCACAGGCUGUGAUUGAUCCCAUUUCUUCACUGAUUCUGCCUUCUUCACACAUGGAACGCCAUGCCAUCAUAGAAAGAAGUCCUGUCCCCGCCCUUCCACAAUUGACGUAUGUACAAAGAAUUAGUCAAGGUGAAAAGAAACAGGAUAAUUGGCACUACAGCGAAGUUCCUUGGCAUUGAGAAGCCAGGAGCGCAUCAAAAUACAAGAAUACCUUCAAUCUCAUUCUUUGCACGACAAGUUUGGAGUGGUUUGAAAGUAAUGCAUACCCAAUGUCGAGAACGUGAUGGGCGCCUUUCACAGCCUUCUGAAUUGCCAAACGAUAUGCACGGUUACGCGGGGCGUCAUUUAGCAUGUCCAGAAAGGUAGUCAUGGUGAGUGCCUCUGAAACCUCCUCAGCUGAACUUCCAAAUAAGUGGUUCUGUCCUUCGCCAUCUGCAUAAAACCAUACAACCGAGUGUGAGCAUUUACUCCAAAAAUGCACACGAGGACAACAAUGAAUACGUAAUCCAAGAAAAACUGAAAUUCGAGUCCUCGCAUAACCCAUAUGGGCAAAGAAGGUAUCGGAAGCGUGGGGAGUUUAGGGUUUUGAUUAACAUGUCAAAGCCCAAAAACUAAGUUCCCGGCAAGGAUUCACUUCCCAAUUAUUAGUUACGGUCUAGGUCUUGUGCAAAGCUGUCGCUGAAAAACUAUCAGCCAAAGAAAAAAGGAACAUCUCGCACCCACAAGAAUAUUUCUCAAACGCAAGCUUCUGGCCAAGUUGGAUUAAUAAGACUGUAGACACAUUCUAAACCCCCGAAAUGCAAAAUGAAAUCCGAAUGUAACCCCGGCAUGAGCAAAAUAAAAAGAUAAAAGAAAACAGAUAAUAGAAAUAUAAAUAUAAUACUACAUGAAGACGAGUUAAGAGAAUCCGCGGUACCCUCAGGAUCGUCCUGACGCACAACAAUCCAUUCCACCUGGCCAGUGAGCUUGUUGAGCGAUUGCUGCAUCAAGACUGCAGACGAUGGAGCCUGACUCUGAGACGUCCCCACAUUCUUGAGCUGCUCCAUUGCAAUUACAAUAUUCCACAACUCUUCACUCAGAUAUCCGCUCCAUUCCAAUACAUUACUGUGCAAAGCCGAAACAGUAUGUAGUGUGACCAUAACCCCCCCGCCCCUCCUUCGACACAGAGCCUCUGCAGGCACAGGUAUGAAAGCUCGUGGAUGAAUAAGAGAUGGUCUAUAUUUAUGUCAUUCCAACGAGGGAAUCCUAGACCAAGAGAACCGUAAAUUGAUUUCAGUGCACGGUACCAGGUGGCUUUCUGGUUGUUCAUCUGUAUGGGAUGCUGAGUGUAUUGUGCAGGCCUACUGUGGACUUGUCUCUGUAGUGUUUUGCUCCUGUAUACGGCAAUUUCGUCUCUCUUACACAUCUGAGACCGCCGGAGCUUUAGCUGAAGGCGUGCGCUGGUGGAGAUUGUCGGGCUUUGUUAGGUAAGUGGGUUUAUUCUUACCGUGAUUGAGAUUGUUGCGGGGGGGGGGGGGGGGGGGGGGGGGGGAUAGUCAGAUUUGGUUGCAGGGUGCUGGCAGGCGUAUUUGUGCUUGUGAAGGUUCGGCAUAGGUUGUGAGAAAGGAAACGGUUGUGGUUUUUAGUAUUUCACGCCACUUGAGGAGUUCAACGAUUGGGCGACGUUCAAUUCUUCAUUUCUUGCGGGUUUGCGCUCUUUGAACAGACGAAUAUUUUGUCGAGAUGGAAAAGAUUGUGUUGGACGGUACAGCUAUCUCUUUGAUUUCUCUGUUGGGCUGGCUUGAUCGGAGAACUCAAUUUCCUAUCAAGCCCCGUUGGAUGCGUUGCAAUAUGAAGUGUCCAUUAUGCCAGCACAUUUGUACAUUACUCUGCUGGGAUUCUCUCUAACACAGAGUGGUGACCUAGAGAGAAUAUUGUUUAGGAGGAGCUUGGUGCUGAUUUUGAAGGAGUUCAUUGACCUAACUUGAAGUAGCUAUUCCAGUGUACAAAGCAUUUUGGGAUGUAUGUCUGAGCGAAGGUCCAACUUAAUAUCAACAAUCUUCUAGAGCGAAAUUAGGAACUAUCUUCUAAAAACUCAACGAUAAAUAGAGGAGAUGAUGUACAUGCGCACAGUUGUGCAGUUGGACCGCUAACAAGUGUUACCUUGUUGUAUUUAUUAGGUGUCAAGGUUUGGCGAUUAUUCGAGAACAGGUUAAACAUGGGACUCAUUCAAAGUCAAGAACGGAGGGGACAGUUAACCAAGAUUGAGAGGAGGAUGGUCCAGGCCAUGGCAGAGCGGGCACAGAAGGUCAAUGUGACUCUUAAAACUUUUAACACUUUCAUCCUCAAAUUUCCGAAGAUUGACGCCUCAUUUGAAGCCGUCAGAGAAGUUUUCAAUAAAGCAGGUUUGGAAACUGCCACAUUACAAACACAUCUUUUCAAAUUUACUGCAAUUGCGGUGAUCAUUCACUGUCUACGAGAUUUACACUUGAUUAGCACGUCCUCAUUCAAGCCAAGUGAAUACCCUCACAGCCCUUUGACCAGAAAAAUGCACCUGAAUGUAAUAGCAUCAUAAUCCAGACUAUAACAUCCAAAGGGAUGCAUAUGCAUUUCGAGACUGACCCAUUAGGUUACAUGAGCUGUGACAGAAUCUCAUUCUAGCUACGCUUGAUACUCUUCUUAGACUAUAUUUCCCUCUGAAAAGACAUUGGUCGUUCAAAGCUGGCUUUUAUGCAACUCUGCAAUUUCAUGAGCCAGCAUGCUCUAAGUAGUUUCGUGCUGGGUGUCAGCCCGGUAUGGGUACCGAUUUGAACGUGAAGGAGAAUAGUUUAAUUCAUGUGCAUGUUUUAUGGCCUUGUCCCCAGAUAAGAAUGGGGAUGGUUCCUUGGACAUGGAGGAGUUGAAGCAGUGUCUACAGGAGUUGCAAGUGGAGUAUUCAGAUCAAGAAAUUGAGGAAUUUCAUCACGAGAGUGACAUGGAUGCUAGUCACGGAAUCCAGUUCAAGGAGUUUAUUGUUGUACUAGCGCUUAUCUACCUUCUAGGCAGACCUACUCACACAGGAGUUGUAUCCUUUUUAGUCAUAAUUCUUCUAUUUUAUUUACGCUUGUUUUCUUUUCUUUUUUUUCUUAAUACAGCCGAAAUUUACAUGUUCACGUCCUAGUUGAAAUUUGUCGACGUUGCCAGUUUGUCUCGUGUGGAUCUGGUGUAGUGAUACGAUUUAAGGAGUUGGACUUGACCGUAUAUAAUCCCGAUGAAGGAAUCAGCGAUUGGACUUCCAGACCUCGAAGCCACCUUCGAUGAAAUUGCUGAAGCUUUUGUGUUUUUCGACCGCAAUAAAGACGGCUAUGUCAGCAAGAAGGAAAUGAUCUGGGCUAUUAACGAAGCAUCGCCAUCUGGUCGGCACGGACACAGAAUUGGUGUUCAAAGAUUUGGUCCGUUUCUCGUACUUUCAUCAUCCAUUGAAUUGCGUACACCACUCUAUUCAAACUCGUGUGUUCUCUUGCAAGUGUGAUACUGACGAAAUGUACGUGAGUCGCAAUCUGUUCAGAGGAAAUGGACUGGGACAAAGACGGUAUGAUCACAUUCAAGGAGUUUUUGUUCGCUUUCACCGACUGGGUAGGACUUGAGAACGACGAAGAAGAAACAGGGCACAACAACGUGUCUUUGCCGUUUUGACAACAUUAUCUCAGAGAUUCUGCAGUCAGCAUUUACAGCUUAUUGAUGUCAAACUACGGUUAAUGAGUCCAUCAGCGAUGUAACCAACUUCGCUGGAGUAUCACAGUCUCUGUGCAGUCUAUACUGUAUCUAUAUUCCAUAUCCGGUAUAUAAGAAGUUCAGAAUUCAGAAUCUUGAAUCUAGGCUCUAGUUUUUUUAUUGGUUGUCUUUGAGUAAAUCAGUUUUUCAGAGCUUUUGUAGCCGAGCAUGAUCUAUUCUCUUGAGCUGAUCAAGCCAGAGUUGUAGCUGGUGUGCAUCAAUUCUAGGACAUGUAUUCUAUGGGAUACAGAUUUCAGUGCCUGGCAUUUGUGCAGGUUGGAGUCUUUAGUGUCCUUUCUGAUAGCCAGGUUAGGUUAUAUGCUUUUUUGCUUUAUGCCCAAAGCUACUGCUUGUCUUAAUAAUCGGCUUGAAUCGUUGAACAAAGGUUUGAAGGUUUCAGUUAUUUACACUUUUAUUUUCUGGGUAGCGGGUCCAGUAUUCACCUUGAGUGAUGAGCCGUGAAAACCCAAGUUAUCAGUCAAAAUACUGUGCACUUGACUUACCAAGAGUGGAUUGAUUACAAACAUUCUGCCAUAGAUAUAUUUUCUAGGAGCAGGCAAAUUGUGUGUGUGAGUGAGUGUGAGUGAGAGAAUGAAUGAAUGAGGGAGUGAGGGAGUGACACUGCGAAGUAAUAGUCCUCACUUCACCUCCAUGCGAGCAAACCAUUGUCAUGUUGCAGCCUCAGUCUCACCAAGUUACCACUACUCAAAAAGUAUCAAAAAUCUGGGACGGGUACUUUUCGAAGCAGCAAACGUUAACAUGUUAACAUUUCAGGCAAAGACUGGGCUUCUAUGAGGCAACAUCUAACUUUUGAAAAUGCAUGUUCCAUUUAAUAAAUGAGCCUCGUUCUGCAAGCCUGAUUCUUCUUUAAAAAAAUGUUCCUAUUCUCCUCAUCUAGUUGAGAGCCAUUUCUUUCUCUCUGCAUGCCUGCCUGGUAUCGAUUUAGAGAUACUGACCGACCAGCUGCCUCAGUUCUCCGCUGAAGAGGGGUGAGUGCAGUAACUAGCAUCUUCGCAUUGGGCCGUUCAUGCGGUUCAAACUGCAAACACCGUGAUGCCAGACAAACGACCUCUAAACCAUCGUCGUUGGAGUACUCUCCUUCUAAGUAGGAGUCCAUCAGCAUGAGCCUGUGUUAUUGUGCAAAUUAUAUCCAACGCCUGCAAUCCAUUAUUGAAGAGUCAGCAUCGUUCAGCUAGAGUCUUAAUUCGAUAGGAUCCCUCAGUUUUCGAAAUCACCGGCUAGGUUGAGCCUUUGGAUUAAAGGUUUGUAUGAGUUGAUUAGUUUCAUUUCUGGAUUCGAAGACGAUACACAAAGGGAUUUGUAGUAGUAUCAAAGUAAAGAUCAACCAUUGUAAAAGAACCAUACCAGUGCUGGAUCCACGCUUUUGUGUAUGUUUGAAUAAUAUGAGUUUUUGCACGGUAUGUAGCUGGGUAUGUUCUAGGAUCAAAACUCCCAUCACACCUCUUUCUGCAGCUUUUGGAGUGAGUAAUUCUUGCAGACCAGGUCAAACUUACUCGUGUCCUCAAGUUUGAAGUUACUUUGGAGGGUGACUUCUUUCACUUGUCAUUCUUCCUCCUCUCGAUCAUGUCUCUUCUCUACGUUCGUUCUGGUGAUUAUUUCCAGUGGAAGCCUAGUACCUGUGCACGUUUAAAUGCUCAAAGUCGAUAGAAUCUGGCGGGUUGUUUGAUUGUCUUGAGAGAGACUCCUUGGUACUGCUGCACUCGUCCAUGCUGUGCAAACGGGAGUUAUUGGAACUUUUGUGAACUAUUCAGAGUUCCGACAUGGUGAGGUCUUCUGUGCCUUGGACAUCGCGACGAUGCACAUCGUUCAGAGACUUAAUUAACUCUAGCCUUUUUAGACCAGCUUGUAUGAAUGCAUAAUAGAACAAGAACUGAGCCAACUACUUAUCUAGUAGCUACAAAAUCAGUCAGAUUAUGUUAGAAACAUAUCUCUGGAAAUACUCGGUUGGGUUUUUCUAGUUCGAAAUCAGAAGUGGCAAUGAAAGUGAAAACCGGUAGUUAUGGCCAAGUGGUGUCCUCACUGCUAUUCAGCAGAGGGAGCUGCCAAUUAAUAUUAACGAGACAAUGUCUACAAAAUAUAUCAACAUUUCAUUAAAAAAAUAUAUUUUUGCACAUUUUUAGUGCAAAAAAUAUAGAAGAACUUCAGGACGUUUUUAGUUUUCUUUUUCAAAAAUAUUUUAAUUUAAUUUUCUUUUAUUCCUUUUUUCAAAUUGAAUACUUAAAACAUGAUAUAUUCUAUAAAACAUUAAACAUUAAUUUUUUUCAAAAAACACUUAGUGAAUUAAUGGCUUUCUUACAAAACAUGUAGCAAGAUUUUAUGCCUCAAAUGUUAUGCUUACAAAUUUAUACUACGAGGAAAAAAAAAAAAAAAAAAAAAAAAACAUUCAAUUGCAUUUAUCUGAAGGAUAUAUUAACUAAUGAUAUUAAUCAUAAAGCAUAAAUAUAACCUGCAUAGGUGUAUAUUGCAAUUGGUUAUUUUAAAGACGUUAAUUUUUUUGGUAAAUUUGUAAAUCUGGUAAUUGGGUACAUAGUACUAUAAUUUUAUAAACGUCAACCGUCAGUUUCAUUACAAUCAGAUUAAUAUUUAAGUUUUUAUAAAUUAGACUUAUAAAAUAUUAUGACUAUAUCAAUUUUUCUCAGAAACAUAUUUCACGUCAAUUUUUGAACAAAUAACCUCUGUUAAUACUUUUAAAAUGCUCUUUUGUUCAGUCGCAAAAAAGAUUUGGAUGUACUUGUUUUUAAGAAAGAUGCUAAAUUUGAAGGAAACUUUUUCUUUAAAUGUAAUGAUAAUAUUUUACGAAAUCAAUUAUAGUUUUAAUUAUCAUUGGGUUUUUUUAAAAAAGAGAAAAAAUAUAACAUGUGAUCUGAUGCAAUGUUAUUACAAGGGUGGAUACUUUGUUUUUCUAACUUGUAAAUUCUAUUAAAAAAUAUUACAGAAUUAUUGCAAAUUACCUUUUUCUUAAAUUGGUUCAACUAGUUAUCUUUUUAAUGCUAUUUAUUAUUUUUUCUGUUAAAAAAUACAAUAUGUGUGUGUGUGUAUAUAUAUAUAUAUAUAUAUAUAUGUUUGUAUGUAAACAAAUUUUUAUAUUGAUAUGUUUAGAAUUAGCCCCAAUAAAAUUUAAAAAUACAACAUUAAGUUCAGUAAUUAUUUCUUUGCCAACUAUUAUACUUAAAAAAUAUCUUAAAUCUCUUACAAAGUUAGUUUAUACUUGCUGGUUUUUCAAUAUUACCAAAAAAUAGAUAAUUGAAUUUUUUUAACAAUUUGGAAGUGCAAUCCUAUAGUGCAUUUUUUUUUUUUUUUUUUUUUUUUUUUUUCCCUCUUAUAUUCUCUUUUUUUCAUGUGAAAGUAUAAAUUACUAAUCCACUUAUGUAAAAAAUGAGAACACAAGAACUUGCUUUAUUUUUUAAAAAACCAAUGUAUGCUAUUGUUAAUCUUUAUUAUUUUAGCUACUAAAAUUAUUAACUUUUCGAUUUUUAAAAAAAAUAUACAAUCCUCUUAUUGAAAGGUCGUUAUUUCUUUUUCUUUUUUUUUUUUUUUUUUAAAUCUAAAAACAUCUCUUAAUAGUUUGAUUUUUCUUAAUAGUUUGUAUUUUAAUUUAUGAUAUCAAUUUUUUAAAUGGAUUGUUAAAAUCCUUCAAAAUUCUCUUAUUGGAUUCUUAAAAAAACUUAAAUAUUUAAUUUCUAAUAAUCACAUGAAUUUUAAGCUAAAAUUUAUAAAAAUAAAUAAGUAAUAGACUUUAAUUAGUAAUAUAAAUAAUACAUUUUUAUAUAGGAUCUUAAAGUAUUUCUAAAUAGGUAAGCUCAAAUAUUUUUUUAUAUCCAAUUAAAUCAUGUAUAUUUUUGAACUUUUUUAAAAAAAUUUCUCAUGUAUUAUUAAAUCAAACAAUGUUUUAUUUUUAGAUCGUUUAUAUACAUUUUCUAAUCUACUAUUUUCAGUUUUUUUCUUCUUUUUUUUUUUUUUUUUUUUUUUUUUUUUGUCUCCCUCUUAAAACAUCAAUUCUAAUAGUUUACUUAUACCCAAUGCUUGAUUUUUUUUUAUAGCAAAUUCAAUGCACUUAGAACAAGAUAGAUUUGUACUUGAAAGUGCUGGCAUAUUGUGUCUUCUUCAAACCUUUAUAUUCAGUUUUACUUAAGACUCAAAGUACCUUAAAGUAAUACUUUUUAUACAUAAAUAUAGUUUUUUUUAUAUGUGUAGAUAAUUCUUCUACAUUUGUAAGUGAUACACCACAUCAAAUUAUGUUUUGGUAUAUAUAUAACUUCUCAAUUUCAUAAUUUUUUUAAUUUUAAUUUUAAUUUUAUUAUUAUCACCAUAAUUAUAUCAAUAAGAUAAAUUCCUUGCAUCUUCAUGCACUAUGCAUUUUUUAUAUACUUAAAUAAUAUUUUGUUGACAAUUAACUAAUCAAUUCUUUUGAUAUUUUUAAUGAAUAGAUCAAUUUGAACCUAUCUAAUAUCUUCCUAAAUUAAAAAAAUAGAAAAGAAAUGAUCUAUAAUAAUAAUGAUAAUAAUAAACUCUUGUUCUAAUCAUCUAUGUUUCUUUUUCUUAUUAUCACCCUAUUGAAAAAUAAACACAUAGAUUAUUAGAUUGGAUUCAUUUUAAGACUUGGUUACUUCCACAUUCUUAGGUUGCUUGCAUCCUCAUUGCAUCUAAUUACAUGCUAUCACUGGCUAUCACAUGACUAAAAUUAUUUUUCAAAAGUUUUCUCAAUGAGUUUCUUAUCUUGAACAUGUUAAGUUAAAUGAUUUAGUUGUCCCUAAAUUUUGCCAAAGCUAUCAUCGUUUACAUGUGUUUGGAUAUAUAUAUAUAUAUAUAUACAAGAAUGUUAAAUAGACACGCUUUUACUAAAUAGACCCAUCUUUGAUGAAGAAUAUGGUAAUCAUGAUGAAUAUGGUUGGUUUUUAAUGAUUGCAAUCUAAUAAUGGAGAAAUGAAUCCAAAAAUCAUUAUUUUUUUUCAUGAUGGUAAUGAUGGAUGGAUCAAUUUCAUAAAAACUUGGGGCUACUUAACAUUCCCCUCUCUCUCUCUCUCUCUCUCUAUAUAUAUAUAUAUAUAUAUAUUGACAAUCACAAAAUUCAAGAUAUUCACAACAUGACAAGUAUUUACACUUGGUACAACAGGAAAUAUUCCAAACAUCCACUUCUACAGUAUUGAUUUGAGUGAAUGCAACUAAAAUGUUUGGUACUUAUUAGACUAUCGGACUAUCAGCUUAGUAUUAAAAGACAUGCAACCGUUCAUUUCUCCUGGUUUAAUGCUUGAUAAUCUUAACACAUUUUAGGACUCUCCUUGUGCAUUACAACCACAGCGACCGCCUUUGUGCGGCGCUACCUGCUUCUAAUCUGAAGAGGUUGCAAUUGCCGCGGGGUGCCGCAGAGUGACGCGGUGUACCGCUAUCGAGUGAACUAACUUGGAUCAGUGCGAUUAUCUCACAGCUCUUCGAGACUCUUGUAGAGGGUUCCUCUAGCUUUGCUUACUGAUCGGCAACUUGUGCGACCCAUAAAACUGAUAUUGAUUGUGACAGAAUGUCGCUUCAACACUCUCAGAUGCAAAUACUGAAAGAAAACACUCUCACGGCACUGCAGCUGCAGUAGGAGCUUGAGAAGCUGUGACGUUAUACGAGAAGUCUUUGCGAGGUUGGGAGACAUGAAAUGGCUCAUGACAAGGGAAUGGAAGUGGUAAUGGAGGUGAAAUUAGAAUUUUAAAACAAUUUUUAGGAGGAACAAAGGGAAAAAAAAAAGAAAAAAAUUGAUAGCUCAUGUUCAGACCGGGGAGCUGGUCCCUCACAGCCUGCUGCUACUUCUAAGCCUUGAGAGCUGCAAGCUCGGCCUUGAGCCUGGAGUCGCCAUACAGCAUCUCCUCGAAGCGGAUGAUUUCGUCGCGGGAUCCGUAUGCGACCUGGGUCCUGUCGUCGGUGUUCACCACCUGCUUGUCGAGCACGGAUUGCUUGCCGUCGCUGGAGUAUCCUCCGGCAUUCUCAAUCAGCAAUCCCAAUGGCGCGACCUCGAACAGAAGCCUCAGCUUCGCCUUGGUGGAUGGCGAGGUCACGUUUGUGAAGAUGCCUCUCUCCUUCACGAUGAGCUGGUUCACGUCCGGGACCAUGCCUCCAGUGUACCGGAGAGUGUACUUCUCGCUCACGUAGUAGUUGAUCAGCUUCUCGUAGUCGGCGUUGUCGAAUGUAGCCCUCAAGUUUCCGGGGGAGAAGAGCUUGCCUUCCUUGAUCUCAGUGGUCUCCUUCACGUGCUGCCACUUCCCGUCGUCCAUGAGGAGAAACUCGUGAGUGCCGGGGAAGCCGUUGAUUGCAAUGACGUAGGUGGUGCGUGGUCCGUAAAUACCCAUGGCGGAUGCAGCUUGGUCGCGGCCCGUGAUUCCAGUGAGCUUGUCCCCAGGCCAGACGCCGAAGAUGGUGCCCACGGUGAAGUUGGUGUCGACAAUGCUGGAGCCGUCCAAGGGGUCGAACGCAACGCUGAAGCCCUCUCCUUCCAUAUCCUGGAGGACGGGCUCCUCCUCCGAGCAUGCGUACUUGCAGACGUGGGAGUAGCGGAGCGCCUCAAAGAGAAGCUUGUCAGCGAGCAUGUCGACAGCAAGCUGCUCAUCUCCGAAGGUGUUAACGCAGGCGGUAGCGCCGCAGGAUGCCGUGCGUACCUUGAAGGCGAUGGUGCGGAGGGCCUCCCCCAUGCACACCAACAACCUAGCCAGCUUCUUGUCAGGAGUUGCCUUAGCAAGAAAUUCCUCUAAGCUAUCGCCGAGCUCGGCGCGGAUCAGAGCCUCCCUAUUGGUGGAUGAGGCCUUCUGGGCCACUGCAUUGCGUGCGUUGAUUACUUGCGCGCCAUACAGAGAGCUGGAUUUGCCUCCCUAAUCAAGAAAGAAACAUCGUCCUGUAUCAGCCUCCAAACAACGAUAAGGGUAACGAAAUGCCACACAAAACAGGACUUGAACUCAAGCACCUCUACAGAGAACCUCCUCUCUCCAAAGUAUUUAAUUGGUGGUUCCACGUCAAUGACAUAAUCAUAUCGCAAGAGUGUGCAAUUGCUUUCAUGCAUGACCAUCGAUUGUUACAGGGAUCACGGCGUUCAAACUUCAGGAAACAGCCGAUUUACAUGAAAGGCUCAAAAAAAUUCUUCAUUGCACAAAUGAUUGGUCCAGCCUCGGAUGCUAAAAAGACCAUGCAAAUUACACUGAUGGAUCGGAUGAAUUGGGAUCACAACAACAUCUCUGUAUUUAGUGAUGAAACAAUCGCUCCUUCUCAACAAGUCGUGAACCAUGCGUCUCGGGGGCAAUACAAAUUCAAUCUCAAGUUCCAGGAAGCGAGGAGCAAUUAUCAUUAGAAAUAAGACCAGCGCAAUGUAAGAAAAAAAUUGUAGUAUAAUAACACAGUCGAGCGAGGGACCCACGCAAUUCGUGGGCUAUGGCGAUUGCCCAAUCCAGACUACGACUUCUGUCCAAGAACCAAUGCUAAUGCAAACAAGUUUGUCACACAUCCGAGGAAGACAAUUACGCGCGGCAAUCCACCCACUCACUCCCCAGCUUAGACAUUCACAAACUCCUAAGCGGGCAUUACUACAAGAUCGACUCACAGCAGCAACACUACCAUGCAAUUAGAAUCACGUAAACGAGUCAGCAUCACCGAGGAAUUGGCGACUUACGAGAGAUGCACAGGCAACGGAGCGAAGGGGAGCGGCAGCCUGGGCGCCACGUCCAAGCACGGAGCUGGAGGACGACGCCUUCGCGAAGGUGGAGACGGUGCUCCCUGCAGCAACAGCGGCAGCCAUGAUCGUCGCCAUUGUUCAAGCUUUCUCCACACUCAACGCCGCGGUCUCAAAUCUCGAUUACAACUUCCGCGAGGUGGGCUGCAACAGUUGUGACAAUUGAGUUUGAUGCAGAGCUCAAUUGGGGCUGAAUGCGAAGGCGAUGAUGGC
rnacentral:lncRNA from 1 species